AUUGAACGCUGGCGGCAGGCUUAACACAUGCAAGUCGAACGAGUGGCGGACGGGUGAGUAAUGCCUGGGAAACUGCCUGAUGGAGGGGGAUAACUACUGGAAACGGUAGCUAAUACCGCAUACCAUCGGAUGUGCCCAGUGGGGAUUAGCUAGUUGGUGGGGUAAAGGCUCACCAAGCCGACGAUCCCUAGCUGGUCUGAGAGGAUGACCAGCCAACCGGGAACUGAGACACGGCCCAGACUCCUACGGUAGGCAGCAGUGGGGAAUAUUGCGCAAUGGGCGCAAGCCUGAUGCAGCCAUGCCGCGUGAAUGAAGAAGGCCUUCGGGUUGUAAAGUACUUGCAGUAGGGAGGCGUUACCCGCAGAAGAAGCACCGGCUAACUCCGUGCCAGCAGCCGCGGUAAUUC
rnacentral:rRNA from 1 species